AUGGCCAUAUAGCGUUGAAACACCUAUUCCUGUACUAUCACCGAAGUUAAGCAAUGUCCAACUUGGUCAGUACCUAGAUGGGUGACCUCUUGGGAAUACCAGAGUGCUGUAA